AUUGAACGCUGGCGGCAUGCCUUACACAUGCAAGUCGAACGGUAACAGGUCUUCGGAUGCUGACGAGUGGCGAACGGGUGAGUAAUACAUCGGAACGUGCCCGAUCGUGGGGGAGUAACGAAGCGAAAGCUUUGCUAAUACCGCAUAAGAUCUAAGGAUGAAAGCAGGGGACCGCAAGGCCUUGCGCGAACGGAGCGGCCGAUGGCAGAUUAGGUAGUUGGUGGGAUAAAAGCUUACCAAGCCGACGAUCUGUAGCUGGUCUGAGAGGACGACCAGCCACACUGGGACUGAGACACGGCCCAGACUCCUACGGGAGGCAGCAGUGGGGAAUUUUGGACAAUGGGCGAAAGCCUGAUCCAGCCAUGCCGCGUGCAGGAUGGAGGCCUUCGGGUUGUAAACUGCUUUUGUACGGAACGAAAAGACUCUGGUUAAUACCUGGGGUCCAUGACGGUACCGUAAGAAUAAGCACCGGCUAACUACGUG
rnacentral:rRNA from 1 species